ensembl:rRNA 5S_rRNA 5S ribosomal RNA
GCCAGAGCCAUAUCUUCCUGCAGUUCUCACCUGGUUUUCCACUGAUGCUAAGUAGGGUUGAGUCUGGUCAGUACCUGGAUGGGGGACCUCCUGGGGAAAACUAAGGUUGCUGCUGGAA